rnacentral:rRNA from 1 species
UACGGAGGGUGCGAGCGUUGUCCGGAAUCAUUGGGCGUAAAGGGCGCGUAGGUGGCCCGGUCAGUUCGUGGUGAAAGCGCGGGGCUCAACCCUGCGUCGGCCAUGAAUACUGCCGCGGCUGGAGCACUGUAGAGGCAGGCGGAAUUCCGGGUGUAGCGGUGGAAUGCGUAGAGAUCCGGAAGAACACCGGUGGCGAAGGCGGCCUUCUGGGCCAACACUGACGCUCAUGCACGAAAGCGUGGGGAGCAAACGAAGGA